UGCGGGAUGGAGCAGUCUGGUAGCUCGUCGGGCUCAUAACCCGAAGGUCGUUGGUUCAAAUCCAGCUCCCGCUACC
rnacentral:tRNA from 2 species